UAACUGGGCGUAAAGGGCACGCAGGCGGUGACUUAAGUGAGGUGUGAAAGCCCCGGGCUUAACCUGGGAAUUGCAUUUCAUACUGGGUCGCUAGAGUACUUUAGGGAGGGGUAGAAUUCCACGUGUAGCGGUGAAAUGCGUAGAGAUGUGGAGGAAUACCGAAGGCGAAGGCAGCCCCUUGGGAAUGUACUGACGCUCAUGUGCGAAAGCGUGGGGAGCAAACAGGAUUAGAUACCCUGGUAGUCCACGCUGUAAACGAUGUCGAUUUGGGGGUUGAGCUUUGAGUUUGGCGCCCGUAGCUAACGUGAUAAAUCGACCGCCUGGGGAGUACGGCCGCAAGGUUAAAACUCAAAUGAAUUGACGGGGGCCCGCACAAGCGGUGGAGCAUGUGGUUUAAUUCGAUGCAACGCGAAGAACCUUACCUACUCUUGACAUCCAGAGAACUUUCCAGAGAUGGAUUGGUGCCUUCGGGAACUCUGAGACAGGUGCUGCAUGGCUGUCGUCAGCUCGUGUCGUGAG
rnacentral:rRNA from 1 species